rnacentral:lncRNA from 12 species
AUGCACUGGCAGGGUUACCUGUGGUCUCAGAAAAUUCCAAAUCUCCCAAGGUCUCCUAAUCCUGUCUGGCUUGUUGUGAUGAUAAUUAAUGGUGAAGAAGAAGGAGGGAGAAGAGAAACAGGAGGAGGAAGAAAAGAAGGAGAGGGAGGAGAAGAGGAGGAGAACAAGAAGGGCAGCAACAGCUUAGAAGACUCCAUGACAGAAUCUCUCAUUCCUAACCAGAGACAAUUGUGGAUUGCGUUUCAUCCCACUCAAUUUCGCCGAGUUCAAUCAAAACAUUCUGAAUGCCUACAAUAUGAAACAUAACAUCCCUACUCAUGUUGUUUCACAUCAACGUCCUGUUUGUGCUGGUGUCAGCCCCAAAUGACUUCCACUUCGCCUAAGUGGCCAGCGCUUCUCAAUCUUCAGGUUCUAGCUCAAGCAUCUUCCCUGUGAAGAAUUACUUCAUGACCCAAGAAAGCUGACAAUGUCAACUUAGCCUCCUCACUCUGUGUUAUAUACAUCAAUAAAACAGCAUUUUCCCCACUGAACUUAAAAAUG